rnacentral:rRNA from 1 species
GAUCCUGGCUCAGGAUGAACGCUAGCGACAGGCUUAACACAUGCAAGUCGAGGGGCAGCAUGAUUUGUAGCAAUACAGAUUGAUGGCGACCGGCGCACGGGUGAGUAACGCGUAUGCAACUUACCUAUCAGAGGGGGAUAGCCCGGCGAAAGUCGGAUUAAUACCCCAUAAAACAGGGGUCCCGCAUGGGAAUAUUUGUUAAAGAUUCAUCGCUGAUAGAUAGGCAUGCGUUCCAUUAGGCAGUUGGCGGGGUAACGGCCCACCAAACCGACGAUGGAUAGGGGUUCUGAGAGGAAGGUCCCCCACAUUGGUACUGAGACACGGACCAAACUCCUACGGGAGGCAGCAGUGAGGAAUAUUGGUCAAUGGCCGAGAGGCUGAACCAGCCAAGUCGCGUGAAGGAAGAAGGAUCUAUGGUUUGUAAACUUCUUUUAUAGGGGAAUAAAGUGGAGGACGUGUCCUUUUUUGUAUGUACCCUAUGAAUAAGCAUCGGCUAACUCCGUG